GUUUUUUUGUUGUGUGUUGGCACUAGCAUCACACUACCGACCGUCGUUGAUAGGCGAAUUUAAAAGGUGCUAGCGAGAUGAUUUCUAUGGAACAACUGUCUUUUGAUCAAAUUGAUUUAUUCGCGAGAGAGGUGACCGUUAACGGGACGAGAGACACAGACGAUCUGGCCGUGGGCGUAUUGCACGACAUAUUGAUCGAUCUGACGCAGGAGGAAGAGGAUGAACAUAUGGCCGGCCCAAGCAACACCAAAACACAGAAGCAGACGAGAGACGCAGAUGAACCAUCGGAUGAACCAGACAGGAAGAAAAUAGUAGUUGCGGUUGUAAAUCCGACUAGAAGAGAUGAAGAAACAGUUAGAUUUUCCACAUACUCUACAUUAUUGUUUCUCCUCUAUG